AGCAUAGGAAUUCCUCGGUCACGGGACGCUCCGGGAAUCCACCUCCCCGGAGCGUCGUGAUUGGAUUAUUCGGCAAACUGCGUCAGCCAGUGGCGCGGCUUGUUGUCC
rnacentral:sRNA from 1 species